rnacentral:tRNA from 1 species
AUCCGUCGACUUUAAAAGUCGUGAGGGUUCAAGUCCCUCUAUCCCCCA